UCAUGAAUCAGCAAAAAGGUACGAGAGUUGAAAGUUUCAAAAGAAGCUCUUCCAGACCGUUCCAAAGCUUAUGCUUUGGUGUAAAGUUUGCCCUUCUGCCCUGUGGGGGAUCAUACAACAGCAGGUUGGCUCCUAAGGGAGAUGAAUAGGUGACCAGCAAUCGUGAAACCAUUUCCACCUCAUGGUAUUUUACCACCGUAUGUACCCUGGAAAAUUGAUGAAUCCGGCCCAGGUUAUGGAUGGCAUUCUGCUGUUGUAUUCUCCAGACAAUUAACUGCGUGGAUGUUUGCGGAUGUUUUUGUACCCCUAAGAAAGCUUCAACAGUAGCUUGUUUGAAAUUUCUUCUUUCCAUUGCCCGAGGGAUGAUUGGAUAUUGUUUGUUCGAUUAUAUUGAGCGCUGUCGCUGUCGCUGUCGUUGUCGUUGUCGUUUGUUUUAUCAGCAAACCACCAGCUUAUUGCCAUCUGCGCUGUUGUUGCGGCUCCAACUCCUGCCAUUUCCUCGCCCUACGCUUUGCUUGAUGGUUUCAUUUUUCAGUUUAUUUGCUCCUUUCCCGCAAUGUCUUUCCGCUAGCUAUGUAGCAUCAUAUUAUUCCCUAU
rnacentral:sRNA from 1 species